rnacentral:rRNA from 1 species
GACGAACGCUGGCGGCGUGCUUAACACAUGCAAGUCGAGCGGUAAGGCCCUUUCGGGGGUACACGAGCGGCGAACGGGUGAGUAACACGUGGGUGACCUGCCCUCAGCUCUGGGAUAAGCCCGGGAAACUGGGUCUAAUACUGGAUAUUACUCUGCGGUGCAUGCCGUGGGGUGGAAAGCCUUGUGCGGCUGGGGACGGGCCCGCGGCCUAUCAGCUUGUUGGUGGGGUGAUGGCCUACCAAGGCGACGACGGGUAGCCGGCCUGAGAGGGCGACCGGCCACACUGGGACGUGAGACACGGCCCAGACUUCUACGGGAGGCAGCAGUGGGGAAUCUUGCGCAAUGGGCGAAAGCCUGACGCAGCGACGCCGCGUGAGGGAUGACGGCCU